rnacentral:rRNA from 1 species
UACAGAGGUCCCAAGCGUUGUUCGGAUUCACUGGGCGUAGAGGGGGCGUAGGUGGUGCGGUAAGUCGGAUGUGAAAGCUCCGAGCUCAACUCGGAAAUGGCAUUGGAAACUACCUUGCUAGAGGGUUUGAGGGGGGACUGGAAUACUUGGUGUAGCAGUGAAAUGCGUAGAUAUCAAGUAGAACACCAGUGGCGAAGGCGAGUCCCUGGAAAACUCCUGACACUGAGGCACGAAAGCUAGGGGAGCAAGCAGG